rnacentral:rRNA from 1 species
GGAGAAAAGCAGGGGAUCGCAAGACCUUGCGCUUUUGGAGCGGCCGAUGCCUGAUUAGCUUGUUGGUAAGGUAAAAGCUUACCAAGGCUUCGAUCAGUAGCUGGUCUGAGAGGACGGCCAGCCACACUGGGACUGAGACACGGCCCAGACUCCUACGGGAGGCAGCAGUGGGGAAUUUUGGACAAUGGGGGCAACCCUGAUCCAGCCAUGCCGCGUGAGUGAAGAAGGCCUUCGGGUUGUAAAGCUCUUUCAGCCGGAACGAAACGGUUACGGUUAAUACCCGUGACUAAUGACGGUACCGGAAGAAGAAGCACCGGCUAACUACGUGCCAGCAGCCGCGGUAAUACGUAGGGUGCGAGCGUUAAUCGGAAUUACUGGGCGUAAAGCGUGCGCAGGUGGUUUUGUAAGUCAGAUGUGAAAUCCCCGGGCUCAACCUGGGAACUGCGUUUGAAACUACAAGGCUAG